GACGAACGCUGGCGGCGUGCCUAAUACAUGCAAGUAGAACGCUGAAGAGAGGAGCUUGCUCUUCUUGGAUGAGUUGCGAACGGGUGAGUAACGCGUAGGUAACCUGCCUUGUAGCGGGGGAUAACUAUUGGAAACGAUAGCUAAUACCGCAUAACAAUGGAUGACACAUGUCAUUUAUUUGAAAGGGGCAAUUGCUCCACUACAAGAUGGACCUGCGUUGUAUUAGCUAGUAGGUGAGGUAAUGGCCCACCUAGGCGACGAUACAUAGCCGACCUGAGAGGGUGAUCGGCCACACUGGGACUGAGACACGGCCCAGACUCCUACGGGAGGCAGCAGUGGGGAAUAUUGGACAAUGGGGGAAACCCUGACCGAGCCACGCCGCGUGUGUGAAGAAGGUUUUCGGAUUGUAAAGCUCUUUUAGUGGGGAGGAAGGGGAGUAAGUUAAGAACUUGCUGCUUUGACGGGAACCUCAGAAGAAGGAACGGCUAACUUCGUG
rnacentral:rRNA from 1 species